UCGCCGAACGCCGCCCGAACAAGGAGAGGAGCCGACUUCGGCGGAAGUCGUGACAUGGCAAUGGGUGUCCAGUUCGACUUCUCCCAGCUGAAAUAGCGGAAAUAACCAUCACCCAGAAAUGAAAUGUCUUCACAUAAUACUGAAAAAUAUUAAUUUUUGUCAUCUGUCAAUGGCAAUCCACUUUUUUCAUCUCCUUUAAACCGACAUGCCAGCAUUGAAAAGUGGUGAUGUGCCAUGUUGCUCGAGAACACCAACCCCAAAGAGAGGAGGAGGCAACCUUUAUUUUGUCUGAAGCUAACUCCAGCUCACCAGUUGCUUCCCUCCCAAACAAAAUAAAAAUCUAAGACACUGGUACACAAAAUACCAAAACACAACACCAAGCUACCCUCAACCCCUCCCGUCUAUCUCUGAAGACCAUCCACCAUCCAUCUAUUUGCCAUGUAUUUUUAACUGUGCUGUUUCACAAAUGUUCUGAGCCUGUAUACAUUUUACGGACACAUUCUAUUUUACAUUAGUUAUCUUGUUGUUUUUAGUCCCACCCUUCACCUCCACUCAAACCCUCCAAUCUAUAUUUUAACACUAUCCAUUUUUCAGUUAUAUUUGCCAUAUAUUUUACAACUGUACUGUGAUGUUUCACAAAUGUUCUGAAUCUUUCUAUUCUCAUAGUUUCUACAGAUUGUAACAUUUGUGCUAGAAGUAUUAUUAUAUUGACAAUGACUUUUAAAAUCACCUAGCAGUGCUAUUUGCAGAGUUAGCUCCAUUUCUUGUUACCAUACAGGUACUUCAAUGAUUUUGUGAUUGAUUGUGUGGAGUACUAUUAUCAGGAAGGUAUGGGAUGAAGAGCCCCGCCCACUGUGCAAACACUCGUUGAAUCAACGUUGUUUCCACGCCAUUUCAAUUAAAUAAACGUUGGAAUAGUAUAGACAUUGAGCUGAUUUCUGUGCCCAGUGGCCUGAGUGUUUCUCAGUUGUGAGCUAAUCAUGCAGAGGCACACACAGUGUAACUACUCCAAUAACACUGUGCAUAUAGUGGAAUCAUACAUUACCCUAAUGAUGAAAUGGAAACAGAGUUUCUGAAAAAUUUGAUAAAUGCCGACAGAUCAUUUGUUUGUUCAACAUCGUGGGAUCUUUUUUUGUGUCUGUAAAAUUAAUUAUGA